CGGUUAAGUCCGCUAACGAGCGCAACCCUCGUCGUGUGUUAUACGUGUCACACGAGUACUGCCGGUAAUCAAGCCGGAGGAAGGUGGGGAUGAUGUCAAGUCAGCAUGGCCUUUAUAUCCUGGGCUACACACACGCUACAAUGGCAGAUACAAUAGGUUGCGAAACCGCGAGGUGGAGCCAAUCCUCAAAGUCUGUCUCAGUUCAGAUUGUAGGCUGCAACUCGCCUGCAUGAAGUUGGAGUUGCUAGUAAACGCAGGUCAGCUAUACUGCGUUGAAUACGUUCCCGGGGUUU
rnacentral:rRNA from 1 species